AGCUUUCUCGGUUGCCGUACGCACGCCAGUUCACCGUCCCUAACUACCGGUGACUACUAGCUUUGUUUUGAUGGAGGUUUGGGCCCCAGAGGUGCAGCCGACAGCCUUGUGGGACAUGCACAGCGGAAGAGACGGCAACUUGCAAUUGGAACGUGUGAGAACGCAGUGUUGUGCUUGAGGAGCUGAUGUGUGAUGUCACAUUGCACCACAAGGUGGCCGCGAGUGCCGCCACUGCGCCUGUCACUUGGAAUGGCACACAAGUGCCACCAGGCGGAAGGUAGCACAUCCAACCAGCUGACAUCUGACUGGGCCAAAAAGUGCCAGAUCGCUUCGGAUCGGAUAUUUUUUUUCCCUGGUUAUGGGAUGUCUGCGCACAUCGGUCGGGACCAUGUGACUCUACGAUGGCUUCCUGCUCAUCCGGCCGGUGCUGACCAGGUCCCUCGCCUUGGCCUCGCAGCCACCUGUGGGGAGUCCGCUCCCUCGUGCUCGUCGGAACCAACGACCUUCGCCGUGCCAGCCCCAUGAUGACCAUCUGCUCGUGCCCCGACUGGGUGCCCAGGACGCUGCUCACACGUUUGCCUGUUUUGUGAUGUUUUACCGAUUCACGACCUCGGUCCAUUGAACGCCGUUGAACUUGGCUGCCUUUACACCUGUUUAUGGAUCCCGUAGAGGCUAUGGGUGUUCUUUGGUGUUGGGGCCGUGCGCUGGUUGGCCGCUGUUACUUUUUUUUCCCUUAGUCUUGUUGCUUUGCUUUGAUGGCUUUUAACUUUCGCACUUACUGGCUUUCUUUGUGGCGCCGUUGUGUGGCAGCCUUGUAAGAGCCUAUUGAGUUGCGCUCAUGCCAUCUGUGUGUCUUUUUAUAUACCCGCUCUGUGGUAUGAAUACUGCUGGGGCCUGAAUUUCCCCAACCCCGGGGAUCAAUAAAUGUUCAAUCAAUCAAUAUUUAACUCUCUUGGUUUGCGUCAGUGUCAUGGAAAAACAUGUCCAAAAGUGUGUGGUGAUGGUACUGUGCAGUACCUGGUACUUAGGUUUUGUCCCAGAUGUCAGCUGUUAGCACGUGCUCACCUUCCCCCUGGUGGCGCUUGUGUCAUUAGAAGUAAGUGACAUCUCACCUGAGCUCAUCAUACACUUAAGCUACUUCCAUGCAAGGCCUGUCAUCAAUGUUUGUGAGCAACUAAAUUCGUCCCACACAAACAUUGACUGCUCAAAUGUUUUAAACUGCUUUUCUGUCCAAUAAAUUAAUCAGUGGCGUAGCUAUUCUAUGUGCGCGAUGUUAUCCAUUCACCGUUUGCCUCCUGGACCUGGAUGUUGUUUUAGCGAUCAGCGAACGGCGUGGGUGAUGUUCGAUUUUUUUUCCUACUGGAAAAAUUCCUGGCUACGCCACUGAAAUUAAUCAACUGGAAUGCAAGUCUUUGUGUUUUUAAGAGCAAAUUUGCUUCACUCAUUUGAAGUUUCUCAUGCUUGGUGGUUAGUGCAAUGGCACUUAGGUUUUGGAAGGCAGUUUUCAAUCUCGAGGUGAGGGGUGCCCUGCUGUCACGGACGGACACAAGUCUUUGACUGUUACUCUCCAUCUCACAUGACUCAAAAUGACAGCAAUUCAAUUGCAGUCACUUUCAUCAUGACCGCAAUUUCAUUGCAGUCACUUGAAGUCAUGUGAGAUGGAGGGUAACAGUCAAAGACUUGAAAACUGCCUUCCAAAACCUAAGUGCCACUUACCCUGCCUCCUAACUCUGCCCAAAUUCAGUCUGACCAAUCACAGCGCAGUAUAAAUUUACAUAACCCCGGCCAACUUUCCCUGAGCCAAUCAGAUUGUAGCAUUCGCACGUCUGACUAAUCAGAUGGCUCCAAAUUGCCAGAACCACGCCCCAAUCACAUGGCAUUGUCUCCGAUUACGCCAAGAUGGGACCGGAGCUCAGUGCUCCCACUAAUUCAACGUAAUGAAACAAAACAUCCAAAUACAGCUUCACCGAGGGGAAUGUCUCCUUGCGUCCCCGUGCUGCCCGCAACAAACAUCACCGGGUAGCAGAUGCGACUGCGGUUGGCUGGUCGGUGCAGGACAGCGGACGGAAGGACGUCGCUGGAGACAUCUGUCCGCUGUGCGACCUGCGCCCAGAUAACCAGGAGAACAUAAAUGACACGAGAUGUCAUUAGACAGCGGGACGAGCGACGGGGGAGCCAGUGCCUACCGUGUGAGUGUCAAAUCACUGCUCCUGCCUGCUGAUAACAUGUUGUCAUCAGGAACAGAAACAUGAGCUCGUUGGAUCGACUGACAAUCAUUGCACCUCCAGUAACACGUUAGAACUGUAAGGUUUGAAGGAUUUUAAACUCUUCAAAUGAGUGCAAAAUGAAUGGCUUAAGAUAUCAUACAGUGCCAUUAAAGGUCUAGUUAUUAAAUCAUAUUAAACCAUUAAUAGAGGAAAUAUAUAAUUGUUUUGAAUAACUAUAACAAUAUUACAUAUCUCUGGAGUCUGAAUAAAUGAGUUGGUCAAAGUUU